rnacentral:rRNA from 1 species
CAGUCGAACGGUACAGGUCUUCGGAUGCUGACGAGUGGCGAACGGGUGAGUAAUGCAUCGGAACGUGCCCAGUCGUGGGGGAUAACGCAGCGAAAGCUGUGCUAAUACCGCAUACGAUCUAUGGAUGAAAGCGGGGGAUCGAAAGACCUCGCGCGAUUGGAGCGGCCGAUGUCAGAUUAGCUAGUUGGUGGGGUAAAGGCCCACCAAGGCGACGAUCUGUAGCUGGUCUGAGAGGACGACCAGCCACACUGGGACUGAGACACGGCCCAGACUCCUACGGGAGGCAGCAGUGGGGAAUUUUGGACAAUGGGCGCAAGCCUGAUCCAGCAAUGCCGCGUGCAGGAAGAAGGCCUUCGGGUUGUAAACUGCUUUUGUACGGAACGAAAAGGUCUGGGUUAAUACCCUGGGCUCAUGACGGUACCGUAAGAAUAAGCACCGGCUAACUACGUGCCAGCAGCCGCGGUAAUACGUAGGGUGCAAGCGUUAAUCGGAAUUACUGGGCGUAAAGCGUGCGCAGGCGGUUUUGUGAGACAGGCGUGAAAUCCCCGGGCUCAACCUGGGAAUGGCGCUUGUGACUGCAAAGCUGGAGUGCGGCAGAGGGGGAUGGAAUUCCGCGUGUAGCAGUGAAAUGCGUAGAUAUGCGGAGGAACACCAAUGGCGAAGGCAAUCCCCUGGGCCUGCACUGACGCUCAUGCACGAAAGC